GACGAACGCUGGCUGCGUGCUUAACACAUGCAAGUCGAACGAAGUGGCGAACGGGUGAGUAAUACGUGGGUACCCUGCCCUCCUUUUUGGGAUAAGCCUUGGAAACGGGGUCUAAUACCGAAUAAAGGGGGAUGGGCUCGCGGCUUAUCAGCUUGGUGGUGGGGUGAUGGCCUACCAAGGCGGUGACGGGUUGCCGGCUGGAGAGGGUGACCGGCAACAGUGGGACUGGGAUACGGCCAAAGCUCCUACGGGUGGCAGCAGAAGGGGAUAUUGCACAAUGGGCGAGAGCCUGAUGCAGCAACGCCGCGUGGGGGAUGAAGGCUUUCGGGUUGUAAACCUCUUUCGCUAUGGAACGGGUAGGUGGAGAAGAAGCGCCGGCUAACUACGUGCCAGCAGCCGCGGUAAUAC
rnacentral:rRNA from 1 species